rnacentral:misc_RNA from 1 species
UGCUGCUGCUGCUGCUGAUGGUGAUCCCAUAUUCUGUGUCUCUUUUUCACUCUUCAAAUCUUGAAAAGAACAGACUAUGCUUCCUUCAAAGUCAUAUACAUCAAUUUCUCAACAAUGAAAAGAUAUAUACACAAGAAAGUUUCAGUCUUGGAGUCAAAUAUGGUGAAUCUUUGAUAUGUUUGUGGGAAUCAAGAAUCUUGAUUUGAAGGGAACCAGAUUGAUACAAUAAAGUUUCAGUCUUUGAUUCAAAUAUUAUGAAAUUUUGGAUCUGAUUAUGAAAAUCAAGAAUGUUGAUUUGAAGUGGCAGGUAAAAAGCAGAUUGAAGAUGAAGAUUUAAUCAUUGGGGUUUGGUUUGCAGUGAGGAGGAAGAAGGUCAAACGAUAGAGUUUGUGGUAGGUGG